rnacentral:rRNA from 1 species
CGGACGGGUGAGUAACGCGUGGGUAACCUGCCUCAUACAGGGGGAUAACGGUUAGAAAUGACUGCUAAUACCGCAUAAGCGCACAGUACCGCAUGGUACGGUGUGAAAAACUCCGGUGGUAUGAGAUGGACCCGCGUCUGAUUAGCUAGUUUGUGGGGUAACGGCCCACCAAGGCGACGAUCAGUAGCCGACCUGAGAGGGUGACCGGCCACAUUGGGACUGAGACACGGCCCAG